rnacentral:rRNA from 2 species
GGGUUGUGAGGUUAAGCGACUAAGCGUACACGGUGGAUGCCCUGGCAGUCAGAGGCGAUGAAGGACGUGCUAAUCUGCGAUAAGCGUCGGUAAGGUGAUAUGAACCGUUAUAACCGGCGAUUUCCGAAUGGGGAAACCCAGUGUGAUUCGUCACACUAUCAUUAACUGAAUCCAUAGGUUAAUGAGGCGAACCGGGGGAACUGAAACAUCUAAGUACCCCGAGGAAAAGAAAUCAACCGAGAUUCCCCCAGUAGCGGCGAGCGAACGGGGAGCAGCCCAGAGCCUGAAUCAGUGUGUGUGUUAGUGGAAGCGUCUGGAAAGGCGUGCGAUACAGGGUGACAGCCCCGUACACAAAAAUGCACAUGCUGUGAGCUCGAUGAGUAGGGCGGGACACGUGGUAUCCUGUCUGAAUAUGGGGGGACCAUCCUCCAAGGCUAAAUACUCCUGACUGACCGAUAGUGAACCAGUACCGUGAGGGAAAGGCGAAAAGAACCCCGGCGAGGGGAGUGAAAAAGAACCUGAAACCGUGUACGUACAAGCAGUGGGAGCACAGAGCAAUCUGUGUGACUGCGUACCUUUUGUAUAAUGGGUCAGCGACUUAUAUUCUGUAGCAAGGUUAACCGAAUAGGGGAGCCGAAGGGAAACCGAGUCUUAACUGGGCGUUAAGUUGCAGGGUAUAGACCCGAAACCCGGUGAUCUAGCCAUGGGCAGGUUGAAGGUUGGGUAACACUAACUGGAGGACCGAACCGACUAAUGUUGAAAAAUUAGCGGAUGACUUGUGGCUGGGGGUGAAAGGCCAAUCAAACCGGGAGAUAGCUGGUUCUCCCCGAAAGCUAUUUAGGUAGCGCCUCGUGAAUUCAUCUCCGGGGGUAGAGCACUGUUUCGGCAAGGGGGUCAUCCCGACUUACCAACCCGAUGCAAACUGCGAAUACCGGAGAAUGUUAUCACGGGAGACACACGGCGGGUGCUAACGUCCGUCGUGAAGAGGGAAACAACCCAGACCGCCAGCUAAGGUCCCAAAGUCAUGGUUAAGUGGGAAACGAUGUGGGAAGGCCCAGACAGCCAGGAUGUUGGCUUAGAAGCAGCCAUCAUUUAAAGAAAGCGUAAUAGCUCACUGGUCGAGUCGGCCUGCGCGGAAGAUGUAACGGGGCUAAACCAUGCACCGAAGCUGCGGCAGCGACGCUUAUGCGUUGUUGGGUAGGGGAGCGUUCUGUAAGCCUGCGAAGGUGUGCUGUGAGGCAUGCUGGAGGUAUCAGAAGUGCGAAUGCUGACAUAAGUAACGAUAAAGCGGGUGAAAAGCCCGCUCGCCGGAAGACCAAGGGUUCCUGUCCAACGUUAAUCGGGGCAGGGUGAGUCGACCCCUAAGGCGAGGCCGAAAGGCGUAGUCGAUGGGAAACAGGUUAAUAUUCCUGUACUUGGUGUUACUGCGAAGGGGGGACGGAGAAGGCUAUGUUGGCCGGGCGACGGUUGUCCCGGUUUAAGCGUGUAGGCUGGUUUUCCAGGCAAAUCCGGAAAAUCAAGGCUGAGGCGUGAUGACGAGGCACUACGGUGCUGAAGCAACAAAUGCCCUGCUUCCAGGAAAAGCCUCUAAGCAUCAGGUAACAUCAAAUCGUACCCCAAACCGACACAGGUGGUCAGGUAGAGAAUACCAAGGCGCUUGAGAGAACUCGGGUGAAGGAACUAGGCAAAAUGGUGCCGUAACUUCGGGAGAAGGCACGCUGAUAUGUAGGUGAAGUCCCUCGCGGAUGGAGCUGAAAUCAGUCGAAGAUACCAGCUGGCUGCAACUGUUUAUUAAAAACACAGCACUGUGCAAACACGAAAGUGGACGUAUACGGUGUGACGCCUGCCCGGUGCCGGAAGGUUAAUUGAUGGGGUUAGCGCAAGCGAAGCUCUUGAUCGAAGCCCCGGUAAACGGCGGCCGUAACUAUAACGGUCCUAAGGUAGCGAAAUUCCUUGUCGGGUAAGUUCCGACCUGCACGAAUGGCGUAAUGAUGGCCAGGCUGUCUCCACCCGAGACUCAGUGAAAUUGAACUCGCUGUGAAGAUGCAGUGUACCCGCGGCAAGACGGAAAGACCCCGUGAACCUUUACUAUAGCUUGACACUGAACAUUGAGCCUUGAUGUGUAGGAUAGGUGGGAGGCUUUGAAGUGUGGACGCCAGUCUGCAUGGAGCCGACCUUGAAAUACCACCCUUUAAUGUUUGAUGUUCUAACGUUGACCCGUAAUCCGGGUUGCGGACAGUGUCUGGUGGGUAGUUUGACUGGGGCGGUCUCCUCCUAAAGAGUAACGGAGGAGCACGAAGGUUGGCUAAUCCUGGUCGGACAUCAGGAGGUUAGUGCAAUGGCAUAAGCCAGCUUGACUGCGAGCGUGACGGCGCGAGCAGGUGCGAAAGCAGGUCAUAGUGAUCCGGUGGUUCUGAAUGGAAGGGCCAUCGCUCAACGGAUAAAAGGUACUCCGGGGAUAACAGGCUGAUACCGCCCAAGAGUUCAUAUCGACGGCGGUGUUUGGCACCUCGAUGUCGGCUCAUCACAUCCUGGGGCUGAAGUAGGUCCCAAGGGUAUGGCUGUUCGCCAUUUAAAGUGGUACGCGAGCUGGGUUUAGAACGUCGUGAGACAGUUCGGUCCCUAUCUGCCGUGGGCGCUGGAGAACUGAGGGGGGCUGCUCCUAGUACGAGAGGACCGGAGUGGACGCAUCACUGGUGUUCGGGUUGUCAUGCCAAUGGCACUGCCCGGUAGCUAAAUGCGGAAGAGAUAAGUGCUGAAAGCAUCUAAGCACGAAACUUGCCCCGAGAUGAGUUCUCCCUGACUCCUUGAGAGUCCUGAAGGAACGUUGAAGACGACGACGUUGAUAGGCCGGGUGUGUAAGCGCAGCGAUGCGUUGAGCUAACCGGUACUAAUGAACCGUGAGGCUUAACCUUACAACGCCGAAGGUGUUU